CCUACGGGCGGCAGCAGUGAGGAAUAUUGGUCAAUGGACGCGAGUCUGAACCAGCCAAGUAGCGUGAAGGAUGACUGCCCUAUGGGUUGUAAACUUCUUUUAUAUGGGAAUAAAGUUCAGCACGUAUACCGUUUUGUAUGUACUUUAUGAAUAAGGAUCGGCUAACUCCGUGCCAGCAGCCGCGGUAAUACGGAGGAUCCGAGCGUUAUCCGGAUUUAUUGGGUUUAAAGGGAGCGUAGGUGGGUGGUUAAGUCAGUUGUGAAAGUUUGCGGCUCAACCGUAAAAUUGCAAUUGAUACUGGGAGUCUUGAGUACAGCUGAGGUAGGCGGAAUUCGUGGUGUAGCGGUGAAAUGCUUAGAUAUCACGAAGAACUCCGAUUGCGAAGGCAGCUUACUAAACUGUAACUGACACUGAUGCUCGAAAGUGUGGGUAUCAAACAGGAUUAGAUACCCUUGUAGUC
rnacentral:rRNA from 1 species